GCACCAGUGGUUUAGGGGUAAAAUCUGAGCUUCCCAUGUGGAAAUUGCUCAGGCCACGGGUUCGAGUCCCGUCUGGUGCA
rnacentral:tRNA from 1 species